ACUUUGAGCGGUGGAUCACUCCGGCUCGUGUGUCGAUGAAGAGUGCAGCAAACUGUGUGAAUUAAUGUGAACUGCAUACUGCUUUGAACAUCGACAUCUUGAACGCAUAUUGCGGCUACGGGUUAGCCCGUGGCCACGCCUGUCCGAGGGUCGGCU
rnacentral:rRNA from 1 species